CUAUUCAACACAUUUUAUCCCAUCUCUCGAUGAGUAAACAUGGCCAGUAAUAAAGGCUAAUUGAGCUGAGAAUAUAAAGAGGACGCUGAUAGCAGAAUUAAUUCACACUUGGAGCUUUAACCAGAGCUAGCAGCACCGGCGUUGUUAGCUCCAUUUCCUGCACUUUUUUUCCGCAUGCAUUUCAGGGGAAGAAAAUAAAACAGGCUAACAAAUUGCCGUUCUGUACAAGCUGCAAAAUAAUUUCUGAGUAAACACCAGCCACAUCAGACUGACUUUGACAAAAAAUUGGGAGAGCAAACCAUGGAUUUCAAUACGUGUUGUAGUUUGUGAGGCCUGACAAGUGGAGAUCAGAGACACGUGCUUGCAGGUUUGGGAAGAAUUUGCAUCAAGCUGAGAGAAGACAGGAAGGGCACUAAUCCUGCGGUUGCUCCGCACAUUCACCACCCCCCACCUCUGGUUUCAGAACCACUCCGCUCCCGCCAUUUAUCUCUUGAGGAGGCGAAAUGACCCUGUUACCUUGGCUGCUGCAUGCUGCCUGGCAAGGUUUUAAAGAAUUUCUGAUUUGAUGGCAGCUUUCCAGCAGUAUUUUACUUUGACGGUUUUGGAGUGAGGCAUAUAUACAUGUACAAUUGAUCAACCCAUUUAAUGAACACAUGACCUUGAAUAGAACUGAGCUUCCUAAUCCUUCGCUGACCUCCGGAGGACCGGUGUGGCAUAAAUCAGUAAGGAGGUGGCAGAAGGAUUCCAAAGUUGAUUAUCUGCCCAUUAAACCACAUUGUGAAUACUCCUUCCAUGGCCAAUAAGUCCUGGCAGGAACUUGAACUUGAAGCUUCCAGCCUAGAGAUAGGAGCACUACAACGGCACCACAAGUCCUGCACCAUUCCACAAACCAUAAAUUGCCACUGUUUCAAAUCUUGUAAAAUGAAAGAAAAAGUGUGACUGCAUUGCUACUAAAGCAACAAAGAAAGAGAUUACAGAAACAUCGAUCUCCUAAGGAUUAACUGCUAUGAGGCCCGAAUACAGCAACUUUUUGAUAUUGUAGAAGUUAAAACAACUUUACAGGAAGAAGAAGAAAAUAAAAUCUCAUUAAGAAGACAAAGCAAAUAAAAUAAUGCUACCACAGAGAUUAAGUGCCAGAGAUGGGCCACAUGGAACACAGGACUGGACAACCUCGAGAAAACUAUGCUUCAGAUAUAGAAUUGCUUCAAAUUAAAUAUCAAAUCUUAAUUUGAACAAGUAAGUAUAAUACAGUGUUCAAUACGACCUACAGCUACUUUAUACAUUACCAACAUAGUCAUAGAGAUGUACAGCUUGGAAACAGACCCUCUGAUCCAACUUGCCCAUGCUGACCAGAUAUUCGAUAUUAAUCUGUUCCUGUUUGCUAACAUUUGGCCCAAUGACUUCCCAUUCAUAUACCUAUCGAGAUGCCUUUUAAAUGUUGUAAUUGUACCCAUCUCGACCACUUACUUUGGCAGUUCAUUUCAUACAUGCAUCACCCCCUGCAUGAAAAAGUUGUCCUUGAAUCCCCUUUUAAAUCUCUUCACUCUCACAUUAAAGCUAUAACCUGUAAUUUUAUACUCCCCUACCCAGGGGAAAAGCCCUUGACUAUUCACCCCAUCCAUGCCCCUCAUGGCUUUAUAACCUUCUGUGAGGUUAUUUCUCCAAUGAUCCAGGGACAAUAGCUCCAGUCUAUUCAGAUUCUCCCUAUAGCUCAAAGCCUUUAACAUCGGCAACGUCCUUGCACAUCUUUUCUGCACCCUUUCAAAUUGCUCAAUAUCUUUUCUAUAGUAGGGAGGCCAGGAUCAAACAGAGUAUUCCAAAAGUGGCCAAAUCAAGGUCCUAUACAGCCACAAUAAGACCUCUCAACUCCUAUGUUCAAUGCCCUGACCAGUAAAGGCAAGUGUACCAAACACCUUCACUACCCUGCCUAUGUUCAAUGCCACUUUCAAGGAAAUAUGAACCUGCAAUCCAAGGUCUCUUCAUUCAGCAACAUUUCCCAGGACCUUACCAUUAAAUGUAAGUCCCACACUGGUGUUCCCUACCAAAAUUCAGUAUUUCACAUUUAUUCACAUUAAACGCCAUCUGUCUCUCCUCUGUCCAUUGGCCCAGCUGAUCAAGAUCCCAUUGUACUCUCAGGCAGCCUUCUUCUCUGUCAAUUGUACCUCGAAUUUCAGUGUCAUCUGUGAACUUACUAACAAUACCUGUUAUAUUCUCAUCCAAAUGAUUUAUGUCGAUGACAAAAAACGGUGUACCAAUCCUUGUGGCACACCGCUUGUCACAGGCCCACAGCAGGAAAGCAACCCGGCACCACCACCCUCUCACUCCCACCUUUGAGCCAAUUUUGUACCCAAAUGGCUAAUUCUCCCUGUAUUCCAUGUAGGCUAACUUGCUAACCAGCCUACAAUGCAGAAAUUUGUUGAACUGCGUUCUGAAGAUAACAGAUCAUGCCCACUAUCUCUAAUCUGAGAACAAAUAAAAUUCUUAAAAAAAGCCAAAAUUUAACAGAAGAGUUCCUCAUCCAGUGGAAUCCAUAAACAAUUUCAUUUAUCACCUCUACAGAUUAAUGGAAAACUGUGACUAUGAAAUUUUGCAAUCAGAAUUCAAAGAUAGACUUGGUCUUGGAAUUAUUGAAGAGUCAUUGCCAGAUCUAUUACAUGCCAAAGAAAAUUUGAUGUUGGAGAAAUCCACUCAAAUUAUGCUGGAAGCAAAAAUCAGGAAGAUUCACAGCGCAAAUCCUGAAUGGAAAAAAGACAGCCUUACCACAGUACAGCAAAAUAAUCCAUUUACUUAAUAAGGUACAAACAUUCUAAAGCUAAAUGUGACAAGGCAACAGAGGUUUAGGCCAAACAACAGAUGCAAAGAGUUAGUGUCAGUGCCGUUCAACAAAACAAAAAGCCUCAUAAACACAAGCAGUGCUCAUCUACGACAAAUUGAUGUUGCAUCUAUAAAGCUAUGGGACACUUUCAGAAGAUAUGUUGAAGAAGGACAUAAUUUCAACAGUUAAAAAGCCAAAUGCUUACUCAUCCAAAGUUGUAAAUGUAAUAG